rnacentral:lncRNA from 1 species
UUCGUUGUAGAAGUGUUAUGUAAAGAGAAUACUUAUAUUCUUUCAGCUUAUAUAUAUAAUUGCUAUUACUUGCUGGGCACUCAAAUGCUCAUCCUUGCUUAAACUAAAUGUUUUCAGUUACGUACGAUCGACCUGAAGGCUCAGGCACGAACAAGGGAAAAGAAAAGCUGUUCGAAUGAGAAUUAGUAUGAGUUAAUGGUUAUAGUUAGUAAGACAAUGGAAUCUAUUGUCAGGUAUUGUAAGGAAUGUAUUUGAAGGUCACGUACCUGGGAAAGUAAACUUUGAUGUAUGUAAAUUAAGUUCGAAUUAUAUUAUUAUUAUUAUUUAGUAUUAUUCAGCUUAAAGAAAUGGUAUCGUGGAGAACCGAGUUCGGGUUUCAAGUAUCCGGAUUUGGGGUCGCCACAGCCUGGCUCGAAUGUUCGAACCAAAAUUUUCAUGUAGUGCCACCUUUUAACUUUUUCUUUGUAUAUCUUGGCGUUCUCAUAGGCAUGUAGGCGAAACUCGUCUAGUUAAUUCAACUGAAGUAGUCUCUUCGCUCCUAUAACCUUUUGAUCAAAAUUUAGCUUUUUUACUGCCCAAUACGCCUUAUGUUGUAGUUCCACCGGUAGAUGACAUGCCUUCCCGUACAACAG